rnacentral:lncRNA from 1 species
CAUUCUGUGUGUGUGUGUGUGUGUGUGUGUGUGUGUGUCACAGGGUGGAUAUAAACUCAGUCUGCCUGGGCUCCUGCUAAACUGCAUGACAGCUUGCAAAGGGCAGGCAGCUACAGGGCUGCUUCCAGGACCGACCUCGACAGAUUUUGGUCUGAAAAGAGCUGGGAUGUUCUGUGCAGUGCCCAAGAAAACCUUUUUCAGGAGCAGCUGCCUGGGCACGGGGAAGGAGCUGGGAUGGCUGCCCAGUCAGGCUGGCACAGAGCGGGGAGGAUUUCCUCAGCAUCCCACAAGGCAAGGCAGGGGGAAGGGCUGCUCAACCCCAGGAGGGACCCAGGUGUCACCACUGAAGCCUCAGUGGUGGGGAGCCAAGCUUGAUCUCCAGCCCCAGGCUCUGCACAGCAAGAGGUCUACCAGCACCAAGCAGUGGCAAAUCAGACUCAGUGGCACAAACAGGGUCUAGAACAAAUGUCUGGCUGUCCAUGAACUGCUUGGAGGAAAAGGCAGCAGCAGGAUAAGGUUAUUAAUGUGGGUUGGAUCCUGCCUUCAGGGCCACAGUUGGCUGAGGCACAGCCAGAGAACACAGCCAGCAUUGUACAUCCUUCUGUCCAUAACCACCAUGGAGAGCACACGUUGUCUGAGCUAAUGGGUCUUCAUAGGAUCCUUCUGGUUGAGAGAUGAUAUCACAGAUUAUAUCUGUGUCCACUUUAGGUCUGGGCUGUUGCUAAGAGAAAAACAAUUCUUGGCAAAUUCCUCGAAGUGCUUGCCUCCUACAGUUUGGCUGAAUACAGUUUGUUCAAGAACCAUGGGUAGGUGUGAGUUUCUGUCUCUUCGCCUUCUGAGAAUUGUUCUCGCCAGUGCAAACCUGAAGAUGAUAAUGCUCCCAUUUAAAAUGAGGUGAAUGCUCAGGCUGACAUGAGUGGGUGGAAAGGGCUUCAAACAGGAUGAAUCUGGGGACAGACCUACCCUGGCCAAGACAAACAGCUGCAGAGAGCUGCAGGAAAGAAAAAAGGGCACUGCUGUUCAAAAUGAUUCAGUCACAUAGGGCUGAUUGAGUCUGCAUAUCCAUCAAUUUAUAACAAAAACCAAUGGCUUUCAUGUGAAGAAAGAAAAGGUACAUCAUUUGUCACACAGGAGGACUGCAGAACUGAUAUCAUUAGGACAACAGACUGAUAUUCCUUGGGACAGAAGAGAUAUGGGAUGAGCACAGAGCAGAAAGCUCUCACUCUCCUUCCUACAUCUGUCUUUCAUUUGCUUUGCCUCUAUCUGCCCGUUGUUGAUGUUUUCUCACAUUAUCUUGGUCCCUUUGUUCAAGCUGUAUUUCAUUCCAAGAAGGCAGGGAGCUCCAGGUGUGAAUGAGGGCUGUGAGCAUGAACUCACUGUCACAGUUAUUAUUGUUGUCAUUCCUCUGAAAACCAGACUGGUGGAGGUUUGGCUCUGUGGAAUUUGUUCUGCUGUUUUAA